UGGGGGAUAUUGCGCAAUGGGGGAAACCCUGACGCAGCAACGCCGCGUGAAGGAAGAAGGUCUUCGGAUUGUAAACCUCUGUCUUUGGGGACGAAAAAGGACGGUACCCAAGGAGGAAGCUCCGGCUAACUACGUGCCAGCAGCCGCGGUAAUACGUAGGGAGCGAGCGUUGUCCGGAAUUACUGGGUGUAAAGGGAGCGUAGGCGGGAAGGCAAGUUGGAUGUGAAAACUGUGGGCUCAACCGACAGACUGCAUUCAAAACUGUUUUUCUUGAGUGAAGUAGAGGCAAGCGGAAUUCCUAGUGUAGCGGUGAAAUGCGUAGAUAUUAGGAGGAACACCAGUGGCGAAGGCGGCUUGCUGGGCUUUUACUGACGCUGAGGCUCGAAAGUGUGGGGAGCAAACAGGAUUAGAUACCCUGGUAGUCCACACCGUAAACGAUGAUUACUAGGUGUGGGGGCGUCAAGCUUCCGUGUCGGAGUUAACACAAUAAGUAAUCCACCUGGGGAGUACGGCCGCAAGGUUGAAACUCAAAGGAAUUGACGGGGGCCCGCACAAGCGGUGGAUUAUGUGGUUUAAUUCGAAGCAACGCGAAGAACCUUACCAGGGUUUGACAUCCUGCUAACGAAGUAGAGAUACAUUAGGUGCCCUUCGGGGAAAGCAGAGACAGGUGGUGCAUGGUUGUCGUCAGCUCGUGUCGUGAGAUGUUGGGUUAAGUCCCGCAACGAGCGCAACCCCUAUUGUUAGUUGCUACGCAAGAGCACUCUAGCGAGACUGCCGUUGACAAAACGGAGGAAGGUGGGGACGACGUCAAAUCAUCAUGCCCCUUAUAUCCUGGGCUACACACGUAAUACAAUGGCGGUCAACAGAGGGAAGCAAAGCCGCGAGGCAGAGCAAACCCCCAAAAGCCGUCCCAGUUCGGAUUGUAGGCUGCAACUCGCCUGCAUGAAGUCGGAAUCGCUAGUAAUCGCGGAUCAGCAUGCCGCGGUGAAUACGUUCCC
rnacentral:rRNA from 1 species